rnacentral:rRNA from 1 species
GUAGGUGGCAAGCGUUGUCCGGAAUUAUUGGGCGUAAAGCGCGCGCAGGCGGUUCUUUAAGUCUGAUGUGAAAGCCCACGGGCUCAACCGUGGAGGGUCAUUGGAAACUGGAGAACUUGAGUACAGAAGAGGAAAGCGGAAUUCCACGUGUAGCGGUGAAAUGCGUAGAGAUGUGGAGGAACACCAGUGGCGAAGGCGGCUUUCUGGUCUGUAACUGGCGCUGAGGCGCGAAAGCGUGGGGAGCAAACAGGAUUAGAUACCCUGGUAGUCCACGCCGUAAACGAUGAGUGCUAAGUGUUAGGGGGUUUCCGCCCCUUAGUGCUGCAGCUAACGCAUUAAGCACUCCGCCUGGGGAGUACGGCCGCAAAGGCUG